GAUGAACGCUAGCUACAGGCUUAACACAUGCAAGUCGAGGGGAAACGACAUCGAAAGCUUGCUUUUGAUGGGCGUCGACCGGCGCACGGGUGAGUAACGCGUAUCCAACCUGCCCGCCACUUGGGGAUAACCUUGCGAAAGUAAGACUAAUACCCAAUGAUAUCCCACGAAGGCAUCCGAAUGGGAUUAAAGAUUUAUCGGUGAUGGAUGGGGAUGCGUCUGAUUAGCUUGUUGGCGGGGUAACGGCCCACCAAGGCUACGAUCAGUAGGGGUUCUGAGAGGAAGGUCCCCCACAUUGGAACUGAGACACGGUCCAAACUCCUACGGGAGGCAGCAGUGAGGAAUAUUGGUCAAUGGGCGAGAGCCUGAACCAGCCAAGUAGCGUGCAGGAUGACGGCCCUAUGGGUUGUAAACUGCUUUUAUAAGGGAAUAAAGUGGGUCACGUGUGACUUUUUGCAUGUACCUUAUGAAUAAGGACCGGCUAAUUCCGUG
rnacentral:rRNA from 1 species